UCACUUACCUGGACGGGUUCAAUGGAUGAUCAUGAAGGUCCAUUGCCUAGGUUGGUGACCUCCAUUGCAUUUUGGAGGAGUGCCCGCCUAAGAUCGUCCCAAGUGGUCGAGUCUACGUCAUAAUUUAUGGCAGUGGAGGCCUGCGUUCGAACGCAGACCUCUG
rnacentral:snRNA from 1 species